CCUAAGGGCCCAAGGGAUUUUUCCAGAGGCCACAUGUCAUAGGAUAAUACCAUCAUUCUCACAACUAAUGAAAGUGACAGAAUCACAGUAUCCUCUGUCAUCUACCGGAGUUAACCGACAGAGAUGAGGAUAGAAGGGUGACCUCCAUUUAUUUCCUGUUUUUCUUCAUGGGCUGAAUCCUGAGGGACCUCCAGGAGCCAUCUCCAGCCCCCUGGCCUGAAGGAAGAGCUGAAAUAAUUUCCACAGAAAUCUCAUGUCUUAGAAACAAGGAAAUGAUGCCUAUUAUAGUGCAAUUAAGAAUCUUUACCAAAAUAAAAUUAAUGACACUCAAAA